GCGAGUCCAAAAUGGCGGCUCUCAGGCUGGCGCGCUCCGUGCUGCUGAGGUUUUGAGGUGGUCGCCAGGGGUCGGGGGGGACGAUUUCCCCGCCACGGGGGCCCCAGAGGAUGAAUCGGGGGCUCUGCUAAGGUUAGGCGGUGGGGGUGGAGAGCAGUGGCAGCAGGGGCUGCGGUGGAGUCCACGGAGCGGGAUGUGCGAGAGUUACUCCAGGUCGUUGUUGAGGGUCUCGGUGGCGCAGAUCUGCCAGGCGCUGGGCUGGGACUCGGUGCAACUCAGCGCCUGCCACCUCCUCACGGACGUGCUGCAGCGCUACCUGCAGCAGUUGGGACGGGGCUGCCAUCGGUACUCUGAGCUCUAUGGCCGGACAGACCCAAUUUUGGAUGAUGUUAGUGAAGCUUUCCAACUUAUGGGGGUUAGUCUUCAUGAACUAGAAGACUAUAUUCACAAUAUUGAACCUGUCACUUUCCCACAUCAAAUUCCUUCAUUUCCUGUUAGCAAGAACAAUGUACUUCAGUUUCCUCAGCCUGGAAGUAAAGAUGCAGAGGAAAGAAAAGAAUACAUUCCUGAUUACAUGCCACCCAUUGUGUCUUCUCAAGAAGAAGAAGAAGAAGAGCAGGUGCCCACUGAUGGCGGUACAUCAGCAGAAGCCAUGCAGGUUCCCUUGGAGGAAGACGAUGAACUGGAGGAGGAGGAAAUUAUUAAUGAUGAGAAUUUCUUGGGUAAGAGACCAUUGGAUAGUCCUGAAGCUGAAGAAAUGCCUGCCAUGAAGCGACCACGACUAUUAAGCACCAAAGGGGACACCCUGGACAUAGUAUUAUUGGAAGCUCGAGAACCACUCAGCUCAAUCAAUACCCAAAAGAUUCCACCAAUGCUUUCUCCAGUGCAUGUACAGGACAAUACAGACCUAGCACCUCCGUCGCCAGAGCCACCAAUGUUAGCUCCGGUUGCAAAAUCGCAAAUGCCAACUGCAAAACCAUUAGAAACAAAGUCAUUUACACCUAAAACAAAGACUAAAACUAGUUCUCCAGGACAGAAGAUUAAGUCACCUAAAUCUACUCAGUCACCAGCAAUGGUCGGAAGUCCUAUUCGGUCACCAAAAACUAUAUCCAAAGAAAAGAAAUCUCCUGGACGUUCUAAAAGCCCUAAAAGCCCCAAGAGCCCCAAGGUUAUGACUCAUGUUCCCCAAGCACCUGUCAGACCUGAAACCCCAAACAGGACUCCUUUAGCUACAGUGAGUGAAAAAAUCAGUAAAGAGGCCAUUCAGGUAAAACAAAUACAAACACCCCCUGAUGCUGGGAAGCUGAACAAUGAGAAUCAGCCGAAAAAGGCUGUCGUGACCGAUAAAACAAUUGAUGACUCUAUUGAUGCUGUGAUCGCACGAGCUUGUGCUGAACGAGAGCCAGAUCCUUUCGAAUUUUCUUCUGGAUCAGAAUCCGAAGGCGACAUUUUUACCAGCCCUAAGAGAAUUUCAGGUUCAGAAUGUACUACUCCCAAAGCGUCCACUUCCGCAAACAAUUUCACCAAGUCAGGCUCCACUCCGCUGCCUCAUUCAGGCGGAACUUCAAGUUCUGAUAAUUCAUGGACCAUGGAUGCCUCCAUUGAUGAGGUUGUACGUAAAGCAAAACUGGGAACACCUUCAAAUAUGCCUCCCAACUUUCCUUAUAUCUCUUCUCCUUCAGUUUCUCCUCCCACUCCCGAGCCUCUGCACAAGGUGUAUGAGGAGAAAACCAAACUGCCUUCAUCAGUGGAAGUCAAAAAGAAGUUGAAAAAGGAACUGAAGACUAAAAUGAAAAAGAAAGAGAAGCAGCGCGAUAAGGAGAGGGAAAGAGACAAAAGCAAGGACAAAAACAGAGAGAAGGAUAAAGUGAAAGAGAAGGAGAAAGAGAAGGAAACCAAGCAUCCGUGGAAGGAGUUUCUCAAAGAUGAGGAGUCAGAUCCCUAUACAUUUAAAAUAAAAGAAUUUGAAGAUGUUGAUCCAAAAGUAAGGUUGAAAGAUGGAAUUGUGAGAAAGGAGAAAGAGAAGCAUAAGGACAAGAAGAAAGAUAGAGAAAAGGGCAAAAAAGAUAAAGAUAAGAGAGACAAAGACAAAGUUAAAGAUAAAGGUCGAGAAGAGAAGAUGAAGGUGGCACCAGCCCCACUGGUGUUGCCGCCAAAGGACAUGGCGCUGCCCUUGUUUAGCCCCGCCGCGGCCGUGAGGAUGCCUGCCAUGCUGCCCUCUCUGUCACCCAUGCUCCCCGAAAAACUGUUUGAAGAGAAAGACAAACCGAAGGAGAAAGAGAGGAAAAAGGACAAAAAGGAGAAGAAGAAAAAGAAAGAGAAAGAGAAGGAAAAGGAGAAGAAAGAGAAGGAAAGGGAGAAGGAGAAAAGAGAGAGAGAGAAGAGAGAGAAAGAAAAGGAGAAACACAAGCAUGAAAAAAUAAAAGUGGAGCCAGUUGUUCCAGCCCCAAGUCCAGUUAUCCCCAGAUUGACGCUCAGAGUUGGUGCUGGCCAAGACAAGAUUGUCAUCAGCAAAGUGGUGCCUGCGCCCGAGGCUAAGCCAGCGCCCUCUCUGAGCAGACCCAAGACCCCGCCACCUGCGCCAGCCCCAGCCCCUGUGCCUGUGCACGUCACCCCCGCCCCGGUGCCUUUGCCACUCCUCGCACAGUCCACCACGUCCCCUGCCUUGAUGCCGUCUCCGUCUCCCGCCAUCUCUGGAGCCGGAAGUUCCAAAGCCCCUGUCCGGAGUGUGGUCACGGAGACGGUCAGCACUUACGUGAUCCGAGACGAAUGGGGCAAUCAGAUCUGGAUCUGCCCCGGCUGCAAUAAGCCGGACGACGGGAGCCCCAUGAUCGGCUGUGACGACUGCGACGACUGGUACCACUGGCCCUGUGUUGGAAUAAUGGCCGCCCCGCCGGAGGAGAUGCAGUGGUUCUGUCCCAAGUGUGCCAACAAGAAGAAGGAUAAGAAGCACAAGAAGCGGAAGCACCGGGCACACUGACGUCUCCGCGCCGGGACAGCGCGGCGGCCACGCGGAGGGCGCUGGGGCCGCGCCGCCAUCCCGCCCGCACCAGGGUCCUGUGCAGAGGGACCCGCCAGACUGCGGACGCGCGUGCGCCCCCGGAGCCUCCUUCCGACGCCGAGCGCCCGCGGCCGGGCAGUGGAUGCGGAACGCAAGCCGGGGCCGCGCGAGGACCGCCGCGCCUCCGUUUUUCUAUUACCAGUGACAAGUAUUAUUAAUAAAAAGACCGUAAUCUUCCCCUUUGAUCCCUUUGUCCUCUCCAGGGCCUUUUCAUGAAGGUGUUAGACGAGAAGAUGACGUGUAAUGCCUUGACUGUGUCUAAGGAUGAUAUGACUAGUCCGUGUACAGUUUCCGCCUCCGCCCUCCACAGUAAGAUAAUCAUAAGAACAUGAGAGACAGCUCCAGGUGGAGUACUGGUCAGUGAGUUGAAUCCAGUCCAGGUCACUGGAGACCAAAGUUGCUCCCAUCUUCUGACUGUUCAGUGGCCCGUGUGGAAUGGACUGGUGGUCCCCGUCUCCACUGGAUGGCUGUCCGUACGCCAACCAAAGGAAGUCCAAGAAACUGAAAAAGGAAAUGUGGACUCAAAAAUGAAAGACCUGUGUUAGAAAGUUGGGCAGAGUCAUCCUCCAUGAAAGAAUCCUGAAGGAAAAGAGAGUAGCUUAUCAAUGCCACAGAGCUUACGAAGAGGAUGGAGAUUAACUCACUUUCAUUAACAAAGUCGAACAAGACAGGAAAAGACGAGAGCGGGGAGGGCUACACUGGGAAGGAUGAUUUCAUCAGGAGGAGAAGGUUAGCGGACCCGAGCGAGAAGAAGAAAAUGGGUUUAGACUGGAGGGAGAAGGAAAUCAGAGCGGCAGGAAUUUGAGGAACUACUGUGGCUGAGAAAACUCGAUGGAAAGGAAUGGGAAGUAUUUCCCUUUGGAGCAUUAGAAGUCUUCCAGUUGUCAGUCAACUCAGGGACUGUUUUCAUCUGACGGUAGCAUCGAUACUUUAUAAAAAGAAGCAGUCAGGAAAAAAUGGUCCUGGCUAGGAUUUCAUUGGAGGAGAAGAUAUUUAAGAAAUAGACACCCUCCUCACUCCCAGGAAACCAGGAAACUCUUCUGCUGAGAUAGUCUGCCUUCCGACCCCUGCGUAGCUGGCAAAGUGUGCUUUCUAGGACCGACACGCUGUUUCUCUUCCGCAGGUGUCUGCAGUUAAGUACAGCGAGCAUCUUUAUCUUCCAGCUGAUUUGUGGUUCCAAACGUCCUGAAGAAAAUGAGAGGGUAUCAGCCUGCUGGCUCUGCCGGGCUUUUCUCCAGGAUAAAAUGCAGUGCAUUACUGUCCUGUAUCAGCUAAACGCCUGUAUUCUCCUCUCAAUAGGACGAUUAGACAAAGACCUACUAACCGAAGUAGAGAGUGAGCACUGAGAUAGGGAAACCUUGCCAGGAAGAAUGCUGGUGAAUGGAGUUCCCUGAAGCCAUGCUGGCUAAGCUUCCGAACAGUCUGAUGGCCAGUCUCUUCAGAUCAUAGCAGUUUUCUAUAGACGUUUAAGUCUAAAAGCAAAUGAAUGACCCUGGCUAAAGAAUGAAAUAGAUAAUGUUGUGAAUAACAUCUUUCCACAAUAGGUUCAGUCGUUCCACUAGGAAGCAAUUCUUUAGGAAUCUUGCAUUAGUUAUAGCCUAUAAAGUAACUCUUAAUCCAUGCGUGCAGGCCAGUAGAUGACCCUGGAAAUUAGAUAUUUGGACGGACAGCUCAACAGUUUAUUCUUAAUAUCGUUGAAACAUCACUUUGGGUUUACGUGAGCUAUUAAAACAACUGCUGAUUGCCUUUUUCAUCCUGGAUAACUCGGUUUUUAAUUUACUUAGUAAAAGAACAGUUUUAAACACUUUCAUUCGUUCAUUCAACAUUUGCUGGGCACACUUCAUGGAAAUGGCACAAAUGUAUCAGACCCAAGUUCAGUUCUCCCAGGAGCCACUUCCGGGGUGCUCCCUGGUUUUGCAGCUGUUUCCGCAACAUAGUAUGUAUUAAAAUGUAUUUCAUCGAA